UGACUNGAGUGCAGAAGGGGAGAGUGGAAUUCCAUGUGUAGCGGUGAAAUGCGUAGAUAUAUGGAGGAACACCAGUGGCGAAAGCGGCUCUCUGGUCUGUCACUGACGCUGAGGCUCGAAAGCGUGGGUAGCGAACAGGAUUAGAUACCCUGGUAGUNCACGCCGUAAACGAUGAGUGCUAGGUGUUAGGCCCUUUCCGGGGCUUAGUGCCGGAGCUAACGCAAUAAGCACUCCGCCUGGGGAGUACGACCGCAAGGUUGAAACUCAAAGGAAUUGACGGGGGCCCGCACAAGCGGUGGAGCAUGUGGUUUAAUUCGAAGCAACGCGAAGAACCUUACCAGGUCUUGACAUCCCGAUGCUAUUCUUAGAGAUAGGAAGUUACUUCGGUACAUCGGAGACAGGUGGUGCAUGGUUGUCGUCAGCUCGUGUCGUGAGAUGUUGGGUUAAGUCCCGCAACGAGCGCAACCCUUAUUGUUAGUUGCCAUCAUUAAGUUGGGCACUCUAGCGAGACUGCCGGUAAUAAACCGGAGGGAGGUGGGGAUGACGUCAAAUCAUCAUGCCCCUUAUGACCUGGGCUACACACGUGCUACAAUGGUCGGUACAACGAGUUGCGAGCCGGUGACGGCAAGCUAAUCUCUGAAAGCCGAUCUCAGUUCGGAUUGGAGGCUGCAACUCGCCUCCAUGAAGUCGGAAUCGCUAGUAAUCGCGGAUCAGCACGCCGCGGUGAAUACGUUCCCGGGCCUUGUACACACCGCCCGUCACACCACGAGAGUUUGUAACACCCGAAG
rnacentral:rRNA from 1 species